rnacentral:tRNA from 1 species
ACCUGGCUGGCUCAGUCGGUAGAGCAUGCAACUCCUAAUCUUAAGGUCGUGAGUUCAAACCCCACACUGGGUG